rnacentral:pre_miRNA from 14 species
GAGAAGUAGCUGUAAAGCUCAGGAGGGAUAGCGCCAUGACUCAUCACCAUUACUAUAUGUCUUUGUAUAUGUAAUGGCGCUAUCCAUCCUGAGUUCCAUGGCUUCUUCUU